CACGUAGGGGGCAAGCGUUGUCCGGAUUUAUUGGGCGUAAAGAGCUCGUAGGCGGUUCGGUAAGUCGGGUGUGAAACCUCCAGGCUCAACCUGGAGACGCCACCCGAUACUGCUGUGACUCGAGUCCGGUAGGGGAGCGUGGAAUUCCUGGUGUAGCGGUGAAAUGCGCAGAUAUCAGGAGGAACACCAGCGGCGAAGGCGGCGCUCUGGGCCGGAACUGACGCUGAGGAGCGAAAGCGUGGGUAGCAAACAGG
rnacentral:rRNA from 1 species